GGAGGGUGCGAGCGUUAAUCGGAAUUACUGGGCGUAAAGCGCGCGUAGGUGGCUUGAUAAGCCGGUUGUGAAAGCCCCGGGCUCAACCUGGGAACGGCAUCCGGAACUGUCAAGCUAGAGUGCAGGAGAGGAAGGUAGAAUUCCCGGUGUAGCGGUGAAAUGCGCAGAGAUCGGGAGGAAUACCAGUGGCGAAGGCGGCCUUCUGGACUGACACUGACACUGAGGUGCGAAAGCGUGGGUAGCAAACAGGAUUAGAUACCCUGGUAGUCCACGCCGUAAACGAUGUCGACCAGCCGUUGGGUGCCUAGCGCACUUUGUGGCGAAGUUAACGCGAUAAGUCGACCGCCUGGGGAGUACGGCCGCAAGGUUA
rnacentral:rRNA from 1 species